CUUUGGACUUACAUGAAAUUCGCAUUGUCCAACACGAACCUCUCUUAGAUAGGUCUUUUGAAGAUCUAAACAACAAUGUUUUUCAUAGCAAGAUUCUAUUCAAAAGCAUGUUUCAAGACAGAUUAAAUCCUCCUAGUUAUUGUGGGUAAGCUGCUCUGUAUACCCACUUUCCAGACAAUGAUGACAUUUGAAAUAUUCUCGUUAAAUUGGAAAGUACCUUUUAAUCCAACAUGUUUAAGACGUCAAGCUUAGAGCACAAGAUGUUGGGUUUCUGCUUUCGCCACGCUAACAAAAACCACUAAGCUUUAAGUAGAAUUAAUAUUUUUACAAGGAGUUUCUUCUUUUCUGUCUGAUUUGAAUAAAACGGAUAGAAUUUACGUAAAUCUUUAUUUCAUUGAAAGCCCAUAUGGCAUAAUUAGUCCAUAGGGGUAAAAUGAAACAUUAUUGCCGUAAGAAGAACAUAAUUCGAUUUGCUAGAAAACGGUCAGCUUGUGUGACAGUUGCCAAAUCUAGCUAGACACACAGAGCAUCAUCUUUCAAAACAAAGUCUCUUUUAUGCGAAAACCUGAAUUUAUUUCCUGCAUGUAGUUGAAAAACCCUGAGUUUUGGAUAUUAAUAAACAGUGGCAGAUGAAAAUCGACAAAUGGGCCUACACUGCAGCCUGACCUGAGAAUUCACGACAUGAUCGUUAGUUAUCACAGAGAAAGGAAAGGAGAACCAACAUUUUAGAGGUUUACUGCUCGCAGGAGCACUUUCGAACUGAUUUAAAACACUUCAUUCAUUAGUGCUAAGCAAUCAGAAGAUAAGAAAACCAAAAGAUAAGAACGUUCGAUUUUCGCUUAUCAGUUUGAGGCAGGUCAAGUGGCCUAGCGUUAAAUGUGCUGCAAGGCAAAAUACGCAAAUACUCAGCGGUGCAGAAGCACAUUGUGGAAACAUCGGACAGAUUGUUUGCAGCACUCCGUAGGUGUUUGCAAACAGGCAAAAAAUUUUAGGAUGGACGAUCAUCGAAAACAGUGAACGUUACUCAAGUAUUAAAAAACACGUGCGACAGGCCAUUUAUGAAACAUCUGUACAGUUUAUAACUAAUGCAAGACUGUUUUGCUAAUCCACUGGAUACCGGUUUAGUUAUGCCUGCCUUUUUAGAUUGCAUUUAAGCAAGAUAAAUUUUCAUUUUAUCUUGAAUUACGUAAUAAUGCUAUGAAAAUCAUUUCAAUAUUUAUUGCUCUUUUGGGCUAUGGCAAAAAAUGCAAAAAAAUUUCUGACUUUUCAUUGCGUAAUUGUAUAAUUUGUUAUGCUCAGGGUCCCGAAGUCUUCGAAUCUACAUGUUAACAUCAUUUUAUUAACUUUUAGGCAAAUAGGCGGUUGGCCGGAUUUAUAGGAAAGAAUAAGAUGAUGCAGGAAGCAGAUUGUGAAUAACAGAACUACAAUAGUAGAGAUAUUUACUUUUGUUUACCAGGAGAAGUAAAAUUUUGAAGAAAUAUAAGUGAUACUGCUGAGAUUGAAAAAAACACUGGAAUUUUCUGAUAAUGUUUUAAUUAGAGGCCUAUUGCAGUUUGAAACCUUGAUACAUGAAAGUUUCUUGUUUUUUAUGACUCAAAAUACUGAAAACAGGAUCUGGUACACAGGGAAUAAUUACGUCAUUUAUGAACAUCUUUAACUUUUCUUUAGUAGCAAUUGAUCAAAAAAUAGGAGCUUAUGGUUUGCACUGUCUAACAGCAAAAGAUAUAUUGAUGCAUUUGCCUUCAAGAAAUCGUAUCAUUCAAAUUGCAUUCAUUCAUCGUGAUAAAUCCACAAAUGAGCACAAUUGCGCAUAUUAGAAUUUGCUUUUUGUACUGCAAGUGACAGCAUAUUACAUAUUUUAUAGAAAACUGGUUUAGUUAGCGAAGUUUGACGUAGUAUAGGUGUAAAUGUACUGCGUGUGCUGGAAGGACGGAUAUCUGAUGGUCCAGAAGAGGUCCGCCAUGCCGUCAGACCAGAAGAGGUCCAUUUAUUUGGUUAAAUAAUCAAUGCAAUUGAAAUUUAAAGAAAUUUUUCAAACAACGAAACAAUAGCCAAAUUUUUUGAUCUUCAUCAUUUGAAAGUGGCUACAGUGGUACUAAGUAAAGUUGAUGCGAAAAUUUACUGCUGGUUUUUAAUUUGUGUAUAAAGGUAAUGAUCACCAAAAACAGCAAAUUUUCUUGAUUUUAUUGUCUUUCAAAUGGCAUUUUGGCUGCGCCCUGAAAGUUUCUUAGAUUUGUUAAAGUUGAAUUACAAUGCCACCUUCCAUGAUUUUGCUCAUGCAUCAAUCCCUUAUCCUAAUUCAACUGACAAAGUAGGCGUGUUGACAAAAUCGUCAUAUCGAAAGCUUGUUUAUCAAACUUUCAAAAUCGCCAUCUUGAUCACAAGUUAUGACAGACAGAGAUAUGGCCUACAUUUGUGAUAUUGAUCGCAAUCAAAAUAAUCUAUCAACUUGGCAUUGUCAACUGAAGUUUCUACUUAUCGAACACCCUGGUGUAAACUUAUCAUGAUUUGACCAUUAAUUCCUCUAUCUUUCCAGAAGCGAGAUAUUGCAAAGAGGUUAUCUUUUCCUUUCUUCGGCACACUAAAUUUUCAUCAGAUGCUCUAUAUAUUCGAUAAAUGGCUAAGGAGUCACUUAACAUCGAAGAGGAUUGACGACUGGCAAUAUUGAUUAGGCAAACGCCGAAGGACUGAAAGAACUUACAAUUCGAAGCCAUCACCAAGUUAAUUUUGGGAAUGUUCCUUUUGGUUUGUAAAGGAUGGAACAGUGCGCACAAUCAGAGGCAACUGAAGGGCCCAUUCUUCCACCGAUGAAUACUCAAAGCAAAGCCAAUGUGGAAGAUCAUUACAUCUUCUGGGGGUAAACUUCGACAAGGAGUGCCGCAGGGAUCAACACUUGGACCUCUACUUUUCAAUAUUUUCUUAAACGACUCGGUUCCUCAAAACAAGUGCGCAUGUUACUUUUGCAGUAUGUAAUCAGUUUUACGCAAUCCUUGAAAUUUCUUUAUGUUAGUCUUAAUCAGUGUACGUUCACUAUCUUAGAAACUAACAUUAAAGGAUCUAUACAGUUAAGAUGACAAUUCUGUGAUUGAACACAACGUGAAAAAACUGAGCAACACGAGAAGGAAAAAUUUCGAUAGCCUCUCUUUUUUUCUCGUGGAGAUUCGGCGUAAGAACAGUAAGAUUUCGAUCAGCGUUCGGCCAUAUGCAUUUUUGAUUCGCAUCCCCUUCUGAAUGAAUACAUGUUGCGCAUAUAGACGAUUACACUAAUGUACGUGAAAAUACAGCCAGAAGAGACGCACAGGGAAAGGUACUCUCAGCUGUUCAUUGCAGUAAGUGAUGCCCAUGCCAAAGGCAAUGUGGUUAAUAUGUGUCAUAAAUGCAACGAAAGGGCUUCGAAAAAUGGCAUAUUUUUGGACGCCAUGAAUCCAGAGACCCGCGAACGGAGCUAAAGCUUGAUCAUCCAUGUGGCGACUUUAUUUUUAGUUUUGGACUGGUAUCUGUUAGGCCUACUUGUUGACCAACAUAAUAUCGAUCGCUUUGGAAAAUCAGAUGGACUUCUUUAGGGUUAGAAUCUGGACGGGAGACUUGCUAAACACAACACUGCAUAGCUAAGUCCUAGGAAUUCACUUGAAUUGCUUAAACAUAUGAUCUUGGUUAAAAAUCUUCUAUAAAUAAGCUGCUGACAUGUCACACUCUCGUUUUUUGUAAAAGGUCGUUUAUGUGACAGAGCUCAGCGCGCCCUACGAGAAAUUUGUGUCAAUUUAAAGGCACAGAUGACUUUUACCAUCUCGUUUUUUGUAAAAGGUCAUUUAUGUGACAGAGCUCGCGCUCUACGAGAAAUUUGUUUUAAUAUGAAGACACAGAUGGCUUUUACCAGCAAUAAAUCCAAUGUUAUUUUGGAGUUUAAUCGCGUAUUUUCAUAUUUGGCUGUCCAGACCACACCUGUUUCCCACAGUCUCCUGAAAACGCACUGCGCUCUGUUACAAUGCAUAGAACCCACAAAUGUUCGAUAAACUGACCACACCCGAGUGAAAAACACUUAAUUGAAUUAUCUAUGUUUGUUGAUCUGCAUAACAGUCAAGUGAAGCAUGAGCAAAGUUUAAUCAAUAUUACGUAGUAACUGUUAUUUCAAAAUCUUGGAUUCUUUGUACAA